AGAAAAAAGAAAAAAAAAACGAAACCGAAGCUUGGGAGAGGGGUUGAAAUCUUGAAACCUAAAUAUCCGUUGAUCUUAGAGUGUCCAGCAAACCAUUUACCUGAAAACCCCUAGUUUGUUUUUGUUCUUCUUCUUUUUUUUCGGUGAAAACCCUAGUUUAAUCAAGCAAGAAUUUGCAGAAACAAAAAUGGGGAUAAUCAGCGUGGAUUUAAUUUCAUACUUGGUACAGGAUUUGGGAUUUAUAUUGCUCAGAAUUACAAUGUUCCAAACAUCAAAAAGCUUGCAAAUACUGGGAUUUUUAUGGCUAAACAUUUUGAAGAGAAUUACAGGAAGCCGAAGAAGAGGGGAGAAGAAGAUGAAUACUAGUUUCAAGAGAGACAGAAGAUGAAUACUAGUUUCAAGAGAGACAGAUGGUUAUAGAGAAUCAACAACCCAGGAAGUUGGAUCAAAAUUUCUUAACAGGCCCCAGACCUUCUUGGCAAUUUAUCUUAGCUAGAAAUUUUAUGGUACUCCCUAUUUCAGUUGAGGAUGUUAAACGAGAGGUCAAGAUAUUGCAAGCUCUUACAGCUCGUUGUUCAAUUUCAUAAUGCAUUCGAGGAUGAUUCUUAUGUGUAUAUAGCAAUGGAGUAAGUCUUCACUUAGAGCUACUUCACAGUUAAAAAUGUAUUAUUGCAGUUUGUCCACUUUCUGAUCCUGUGUUGGAUGAUCAAACUUUAAAAUGAACUGCCAACAGAAAGCGUAAUUGUUAUAGUGCUCUUCGUAUCUGGUGAAAAUUGGCAUGACGCAGAUAAAAUGAUGAAGUUAUUUAGGGAGCAUGGUAUAUUUGAUUUUAUUUCGCGUUGAGCCUUUAUAGUGAAAGGCAAUGAGGGUUGUGAAAAUCUUCAGAUCUACAGAAACUAUAAAAGAUCAUAGCUCUUAUGUUGCUUUCUUAAUAUCCAUAAUCAAAAUUGGAAACUAAAAAUUAACUUCAUUCCCAGCAAUAUCAAGGCAUCUUAUCUCAUUCGCAUCAUUCAAAUCUUCUCUGGGUACCAAGCAGAGGCUAAAAGUGUAUUAUUUCACUUAAAGCUAUCCAAGUAGGGUUUUAACUGAGACACAUCUAGGACAGUGACAAAUCUCCUAUUGCAGUGCAUAUCCAGAGUAGCUUCAAAACUCCGACUAAUAUAUCUUGAUUGAGAUUCUAGCUCUGUCUAUGUGCCGCUACAUAUUUCAUAGUGAGCGGAGCUAUAUGAAUGCACUUUGUUCCACUUAUAUCAUUUUGUUUGGCAGUUUGCUUCCGAACUCCUCCUCUUGGCACUCUUGUAUAAACUGAUUUUUGAUUCUUCCCUCGAGUCUAUGUUUGUUUUGAAGACACCAGGUAGAUCCCAAAUGCAGAUGUAUUUACUUAAGUAUUUAUACAACGCAUAUUUUUUCUUGAUUCAUCACUUAGUUUACUUUGUUUGUUUAUCUGCAAUGUUUUGCUUACUUAGGUUAUUGCACUGUUUGGUGUAGUUUCAGUGAAUACUGGUGGUUAGAAAGGAUAUUCAGGGUUAUUGCAAUGAUGGAGGAAAUGGUUGUCUGUGUUGGUGAUUUGCAGCUGAGAUUAGUUGGUCUUGCUGUUGCAGUAAAUAUUACACGGCUAGAAGGGACUGGAGCUGCAGAAUGGGGUUACAGACCGGAGAUUAUUCUGGUUGAACAUAUGAAAAUUCAAGACGACCAGGGAAGUUCAUUGAUUUUUUUUUAUCACGAAAAUGCCCGUGUUCUUCAUCAUGAUGAAAACAUAUACUGGUUUGAAUGUACUUCCAGUCCAACUCAUUUAUCAAUCCAGUUGAUGGACUGUAGUCGUGAAAAGCCCGAAGUUACCGUUGUUUCUAUGGAUCCUCAUUUCUCUCUUUUUUGCACAGUGACUUCCUCUCAGUUCUUCCUGACAGGAAGGAGGCGCAUGAUGUUUUUUCACAGUGUUGCAGAAACAAACGAAAAUACGCACGCGGGGAAGAAAAUUUCUGGUACAUACAAUGCCAUGGAUGGAGUUCGAGUUGUCAAUGGUUUGGAGUGCAAGAAUCUUGCGUGACAUCCAAGGUCUCUUAUGUUCUAGACACCCAAGAUUUCUUCUUUCAGAUUAAAAUAAAACAUGUCACGAGCAAUCAAAGCCCUUAAAACCGUUACGCUCUAAGAAUAGAACGAUACCAAAAGUUCCUGUCUGGAUCCUAAUGUAUAUGCUUAAGAUUUCAAGAGAUGGGAUGAGGUAAUCCAAAGCUGAAAAAAGAAGUGUAUGAUGUGGUGCAGGCUGGUGUCAGAGAAACUUUGUUGUUGAGAAGGCGUUCCCUUGCUUUCUUGAAUUCCUCUUUACCAGCGAAGGAAUAUUCAACUUUGAAAGAGUAACGAAAGCAAAGUGUAGUAUUUUUGCAAGUUUGUUUGUUCUAGUGUUGUUUUUAAAUUUAUUUUUUACUCCGUGGUGCAGCUGAAUAAUACCGAGUCAGAUAGCUGACUCGGCUAACUCAUUUUUUACCUUGACCAGUUGACUAAAGGUUUGACUAGCUUGACUGUUAGCUGUGACGGUACCGUGACGGAAUAUUCCAUCGACAUAUUAGAAGAUUCCGCUAAUCAGCAGUAGUUGUUUUUGUUUGAACAUCUCUUUGCUUUACAAUUUCUCUAAUAAGUUAUUCGUUCGGCCCUCCCAUUGUGUCAACGGUUGUACUAGUAUGUUUUGUGUGCUAGAGCAGAAGUGACUUAGUCCUUUGCAUUGUAUAUUCCAGAUGUGAAUUUAUGCACAAAUAUUGUUGAAUUUUGGAUCUGUUGAGUGGUUUGUAUAUUCACUCUUUCGGGAAAUCAGUUGAAUUUUGGUCUGAA